AUUGAACGCUGGCGGCAUGCCUUACACAUGCAAGUCGAACGGCAGCACGGGGCAACCUGGUGGCGAGUGGCGAACGGGUGAGUAAUGCAUCGGAACGUACCUUUCAGUGGGGGAUAACGUAGCGAAAGUUACGCUAAUACCGCAUAUUCUGUGAGCAGGAAAGCAGGGGAUCGCAAGACCUUGCGCUGAUUGAGCGGCCGAUGUCAGAUUAGCUAGUUGGUGAGGUAAAGGCUCACCAAGGCGACGAUCUGUAGCGGGUCUGAGAGGAUGAUCCGCCAAACUGGAACUGAGACACGGUCCAGACUCCUACGGGAGGCAGCAGUGGGGAAUUUUGGACAAUGGGGGCAACCCUGAUCCAGCCAUGCCGCGUGAGUGAAGAAGGCCUUCGGGUUGUAAAGCUCUUUCGGCCGGGAAAAAAUCGCAUGGGUUAAUACCCUGUGUGGAUGAUGGUACCGGAAUAAGAAGCACCGGCUAACUACGUGCCAGCAGCCGCCGUAA
rnacentral:rRNA from 1 species